CCCCCUCUUUUUCAUUUGUGUACCGAAUAGUAUUAAAGUCUCCAAGAACAAUCCAAGGUACAUUGAGACAGCCAUUUGCAAUAUUAGUCAGGUCAGACCAAAGAGUAUUUCUUUCUUGCAUACUAUUUGAAGCAUAUAUACCAAUGAAAUUAAAUUGACAGCCAUUCUUUUUGUCCUCUACCUUAAGUUGAAUGAAUUGAUCAGUAGCAGAAAUAAACCAAGCAUUAAUAGAGUUAGGAUGCCAUAAGACCCAUAUUCUACCAAAAGUUU
rnacentral:lncRNA from 1 species